rnacentral:rRNA from 1 species
CCUACGGGAGGCAGCAGUGAGGAAUAUUGGUCAAUGGGCGUAAGCCUGAACCAGCCAAGUCGCGUGAGGGAUGAAGGUUCUAUGGAUCGUAAACCUCUUUAGGCGGGGAGCAAUGCCUGGCACGCGUGCCCGGAGGGAGAGUACCCGCAGAAUAAGCAUCGGCUAACUCCGUGCCAGCAGCCGCGGUAAUACGGAGGAUGCGAUCGUUAUCCGGAUUUAUUGGGUUUAAAGGGUGCGUGGGCGGAUUUUUAAGUCAGCGGUAAAAUGUCCGGGCUCAACCCGGGCCGGCCGUUGAAACUGGGGAUCUUGAGUGUGCGAGAGGCAUGCGGAAUGCGUGGUGUAGCGGUGAAAUGCAUAGAUAUCACGCAGAACCCCGAUUGCGAAGGCAGCAUACCGGCGCCCGACUGACGCUGAGGCACGAAAGCGUGGGGAUCGAACAGGAUUAGAUACCCUUGUAGUC